UACGUAGGGGGCAAGCGUUGUCCGGAUUUAUUGGGCGUAAAGAGCGUGUAGGCGGCCAAGCAGGUCAGCUGUGAAAACUCGAGGCUCAACCUCGAGACGUCGGUUGAAACCGCUUGGCUAGAGUCCGGAAGAGGAGAGUGGAAUUCCCGGUGUAGCGGUGAAAUGCGCAGAUAUCAGGAAGAACACCAAUGGCGAAAGCAGCUUUCUGGGACGGUACUGACGCUGAGACGCGAAAGCGUGGGGAGCGAACAGG
rnacentral:rRNA from 1 species